rnacentral:lncRNA from 13 species
GUCCCGGGCACCGGACUCGCGGCUGGCGGCGGGGACCCAAGGGCCCUGACCCCAGGGGUCAGCGGCGAUGUGCGAGCCGGGUCCUGGGAGGCUCGGGGCCCACUUUUGACGGGCGCUGGAGGAGAACCUGUGCUGGGGGGGUCCCUAUGCUGGGGGGUCCCAGUAUUGGGGGGCUCUGUGCUGGGGGAUCCCCGUAUUGGGGGCUCUGUGCUGGGGGUCCCUGUGUUGGGGAGACUGCCGGGGAUCCCUGUGUUGGGGGGGGCUCUGUGCUGGGGGUCCCUGUGUUGGGGGGGGCUCUGUGCUGGGGGUCCCUGUGUUGGGGGGGCUCUGUGCUGGGGAUCCCUGUGUUGGGGGGCUCUGUGCUGGGGAUCCCUGUGUUGGGGGGCUCUGUGCUGGGGGUCCCUGUGUUGGGGAAGACUUGCCGGGGAUCCCUGUGUUGGGGGGGCUCUGUGCUGGGGAUCCCUGUGUUGGGGGGCUCUGUGCUGGGGGUCCCUGUGUUGGGGGGUAUAUAUACAGAGAGUCCCUGUGUUGGGGGGACUCUGUGCUGGGGGGUCCCUGUGUUGGGGGGGCUCUGUGCUGGGGGUCUGCUCAGUGCUGCGGAUCUCUGUACUGGGGUCACUGUGCUGGGGGCUCUGUGCUGGGAGCUCUGUGUUAAGGGGCUCUGUGCUUAGGGGGGUGUCCGUGGGAGCUCUAUACUGGGGGACUCUGCUGGGGGGCUCUGUGCUCGGCUGCUCUGUGCAGGGGCUGGAGACAAGGGCUUACCACUCAUACAUGGGGAGCCUCAGCCAAGGUGUCUGCAGAGGCCAGGGCCAGUGUGAAGGGUCACCCUUGGCUUGGGUCUUGGGGCUGGGUCUAAGUACAGAUAAAGAGGCUCAUCCCCCUGGACUUGAACAGAGACUCGAUGCCCUGGGAUCUCCCUUCCACCCCGGGGGUCAACCCUGGCUGCACUCUGCCCCCAUCCUGGCCCCCAUGCUCAGGUGCAUCCAGAGGCCACAUGUGUGUCUCUGUGGCCCUCGGGGGCUCCUGUACCUGCCCCAGAGACGUGAGAGUGUGGCAGGCCAGGUGUCAUUAACACAGGCCUCCAUAACAAUUGUUUCAGUACAGAGUCGUUUAGUUAAAUAUUAA